rnacentral:misc_RNA from 1 species
GAAAUGCGAUAAGUAAUGCGAAUUGCAGAAUUUCAGUGAGUCAUCGAAUCUUUGAACGCACAUUGCGCCCUUUGGUAUUCCGAAGGGCAUGCCUGUUCGAGCGUCAUUAUCACCCCUCAAGCCUGGCUUGGUGUUGGACGUCCGGUCGCGUUCGGUCACGACCCGUCCCAAAGACAAUGACGGCGUCCAGAGGACCCUCGGUACAUUGAGCUUUAACCGGCACGUACUCGAGUUAAGGGCCUCUGGACCCGGUCACCUUUUUAAACUAUUUUACAAGGUUGACCUCGGAUCAGGUAGGAAUACCCGCUGAACUUAA